rnacentral:lncRNA from 1 species
CUCUCGGAUGUGUGUUCAGAGAUCCUGAAAUACAUACAAUAAUUGCUGCACUUUAAACCAUAAUCACAGGAUGAGUUUUAGUGCCUGUAAAUUGAGGAUACUCUCCAAAUAGCACUGGAAUCUGGAUAACUUGCUUCACCCAGUCUGCAGCUUUCUGCCUAAAUGCAUAUAGUGAAGUGGGAGGAGUGAAGAAGACAAUUAUGAGGAAAUGAAAGCUGACAAAUGAGAGGUGGAGAGUGAUAGAGAUGAAGCUGACCCAUUGCACAAACUGAAUGUGGAUCGGCCAACACUGACGUCAAUGCAUACUUUGUUGCCCACCAGCACGAAAAGGUCAGUUGCACAGUUCAUUUCCAAACAUCAGUCACUCUCCCAUCUGACAGGAGGGAAGGGAACAAUCAUCACAGUUGAGAUGAAAUGUGAUCCUGCUGACCAAUGUAAGACAUCUAUUUGUCCAGUCAGAGAGUUCAAUGAGCUAAGAAGCAAAUAAAUAAUCUUCCUUAGCUUAAAUGAAGGGGAAGAGAAAUGAAGAGGGAAAAAAAAAUCAAAUCAAACCAAACCCUUUGAGCCAUCUUCCAUAUUCCCAGCUUACUGUGGAAUGCUAAGUAGGACUUAAGGAUACAAAGUUUCAUUGUGCUUUUUGAUGUAAAGCUCUUUUUACUUUUUACGUAAUGCUAGUGGCAGAAGGAUAACAAAUGGAAGACUUACAAUAAAUA